UCCUGGGCGUAAACGAUGCGGGCUAGGUGUCGGGGUGGCUUCGGGCUACCCCGGUGCCGAAGGGAAGCCGUUAAGCUCGCCGCCUGGGGAGUACGGCCGCAAGGCUGAAACUUAAAGGAAUUGGCGGGGGAGUACCACAAGGGGUGGAGCCUGCGGUUUAAUUGGACUCAACGCCGGGAAUCUUACCGGGGGAGACAGCUGGAUGAGGGCCAGGCUGAAGACCUUGCCAGACU
rnacentral:rRNA from 1 species